CUACACUGAUCUAACACCCUGCAACACCUGCGAGCUGCUCAACAGUGGCCACCGGGCCGCCGAAUGACACGGAGCAAGAUGCACCCGCAACAGCUUGGAGGAAACUGUGUCAAUUUUUUAUAGACUUUAAAAUGAAAUAUGAAUAAAACUCCUUCUGAGAGCAGUAAAGCUGGAAGCAAUUCCAAGCCUUCCUUGAGCAGAAAGGCUGCUCUGUUUCUUGACUCCCAGACGCGAACACUGAAGCGUUAGCCUGUCAUCCACUGAGCACUUCAACCACAGUAAAGGAUGCACCUGGGCUCAGAGGAUCAAAGCUCUGCUCAGUCUUCUCAAGUAGGAUAUUCUGGUAUUUCUGGUGCAUCUUGCAUAUGUAGAAACAGCAAAAUUUCUCUUGGGGAACAGGCAUCAGCACAGAGAGGGGACAGAUGGUGUUCGAUACGGAGACCGAACUACAGCUCGAUCUUCCCAAAGAAAGUGGGUCCUGCAAGAGCAAGGGAAGACAUCAGUUAAAUUGUCACAAAUAAGCCCCAACUGUUGCAAAACAGCAUCUGAUUUCCUAGAUUAAUCUGAAAGGAGAAAGAAAUAUUCUGGCAGUCCUACCUGAUGUUUCAAGCCUCAGUGGGUACAUCCAGCCCUACUCGAGCAUGGGGUGUAAGUACGUAUGCUGCUUGAAUUUGCUUCUUUGCAACACUUAAACAAAUAUAGAAAAUGAAUAGAAAUAUUAAGACACUGGAAAAAAACAACAUCAAAAUAGAAUUUUUAUGAACUGAUGAGCUGAGAGUUGAGCUGGUACCGACAGAGUGGGAUCAGUCAGUGGUCAGAUACCAUAUGCUGGAUCUCCAUAUUUUUCAGCCAUCUUUAAGACUGAUUCCUUGUGUUACAUGAGCCAGAGGGAGCCUGGAACUACACAACCUGUUGUUAAAGAAACUUGCACCAUCACUAGGCAUCAGCUCUACUCUCCAGAGGCCCAAUCUCCAGACAAUCAACUCGUGUGCUGUUAGUGCUUUGUUUCUCUCACUUCUCCUGUGUACAUAUGAAACUGUCGAGCUGAAUUACACUUUAUAAGGUGAUAGGGAAAAGAUCUAACAUUUAUUUUUCCCUCUUACUAAUUUUUACAGUGUGGGUAAGCUAAUUUUUACAGCCUAAAAACCCACAAAGCAAAACAAGUCCUGCUAUUCUUGACAUCUUUCAGGUAAACAAGGAAAGCAUUUGACAUCAUUUGCAAUUAUUAUCAUGUUUGAAAAGCUCUGCUUUCAUAAACAGAUGAGGCAUGACAACAAAUGAUGCUUAUUGAAAUCUAAAUUUUUACAUUAAAUACACCAAAUGAGCACAAAAGUAGAAUUUAAAGCAUAGGCAGAAGUCUGGGAUCACCUUCCAAUUCCCAUUUCCCACUGUUUUAAGGGGGAGUUGAACAUUGUGCAGCCUCACGGUAGAGAACAAUGUUCCCUAUUAGUGCAGAUACUUGAGAUCUUCUCUAUGAUUCUUGAAAAGGGGGCCAAAAUCAGUGAUUUUCUUAGUGUUUCACUGAAAUUUGUCCUGUAUGGACACCAUUACUUUCCAGCAUGUAAGCCUUUUUGAUAAUGGACAACGGAUUUCCAAGACCUGCUCAAGCUCCUGGGUGUGUGUUCCCUAUGGUAGAGUGUGCUCACUUCUGAUUCUUCAGAGUAAGAGAUUUGCAGUUUCUGUGCCAAACCAGUCAAACCUCACAUCUCAUUUCAUUCACUCGAAAAUGAAAAUUGUGAGCUGUACACAACACUGGUGUUUCUGUUCCCUGCCAGCACUUCAACCCAUCUGACAGGAAAGUUCCCUCUAUGGAGCGUUUUCUACCUUGGUGAGUUCUUUCCAUGACAUUGCUUGAAAAAUCCAGGUUUGUCGAUUCCUUUGUUGUAUUAUAUGCCCUGCAGCUGGUUCCACACAUUUAUUGCCUGACUUCUUCCUAUAGUUUUAAAUGUUCUUUUGUUGUACCAUUUAGUAAGUAAGUCCCUGCUAAAGUCAGAGCAUAAAGCUUGUUCAAGGUGCUUACAUUCCUUGAAAAGAGCCAGGCAAGCAUUUUCUCCACAAACGAGAAUUAUUCAUCAAAUUUAUUCCACCUGGGGUUUGUAUGUGUGCGUGCAAUCUUUGUUAAGUAUUUUAGCAAAUAUUAAAAUCCCAGGUAGGUUAGGGGGAUCAGCAAAAUUCCUGCUAGUAUUAAAUGAAUAUUUGUGCAGGGUGAAUUUUGAGUGUGUUGUGUAAAGCUUAUAAUGCUUAAGACUAUAUUCUUCUGCUAAAUGGUUAAACUCUGCCCUAAGAACAAUUUGUCUAGAACAGUAAGAGAGCAGAAAAGAAGUGAGUUACUUGUAGUGAAGAACAUGCAACCAUAGGGAAGGAUUAUUUGGGAAAUAAUAAUAGGCAGUUGAAGUCUUGGAAGCAUGCAAGAGACUUCACUACUUCCAAUAGAAAAUUGUUUAUGGAGAGAAAUAAAGCUAAACCUAUCCAAUUUUUUUCAAGUAGCUCUGGUAACUUGUAAGGUUUGUGUCAGACUCUAAGUAGAAAAUUAUCACCAAUUAUAUUCCAAAGAAAGCAAUAAAAGCUUAGUAAGAGGAAAGCAAUGCUGAAGCUUCUUCAGUCAGCUCAGUAGCUUUAAUUGCUAUGCUUUUUUUUCUAAAGGAUAUUUUUAAAACUCCGAGCCCAUUUUCUUUUCUGUGGAAAUAUUGCAACUCAUCUACAGUGUUUUCUUUUUGGUUCAUCUUGUUCUUGUCUUUCUCAAACUUACACUUUAGCUGCGUGCCUCUGGCUAUUAACCCUGUGGAUUUCUUUCAAAUAUGAGAAAGCUUGAUUCUAUGAGCCUCAAAAAACACCACAGUGGGAAAACAUCCCACUUAGCCCUUGUUUUAAUGUCAAAGGGGAAAGCACCUCUGUCCCCUUAUGUUGUUGAGAAGGCACAGCAGCUUUGCUUCUCAGUCAACAGCCUUGGACAGACAGAUAGCCUCAUCUUUCUUCUAUUUUUUGUCCAUCUUUCAUACCAGCAGGCAGGAAUUUCUCCUAAGAAAGAGAGAAUGUUCUUCGUAAGCUUAUGCCCCAUGGACAGUUUGUGGUUUCCUAAGGGCCCUACACUAUCCUCUUUAUCUCACAGAGGAUACUGGUUGUAGGAGCAUAAAACCUUCCUGGAGCAGGCAGAUUAGAAAGGUUUUCGUCCCCGCUGGAGUUAGAGGCCAAGGGAGAUUUUACUCAAUGGAACGGGCUGCGUUUUACCAUCAGUAUGGUGUGAAGAAAUAUAUCAUUAAGCUGGUUUUCUACUCACUGCUUUGAUCGUGGUGGCAGGAUGAAAACAUCUCACUUGGUAGUAUGAGUGUUCUUUCACCCAAAUUUAGUCUUGCAAGUUGGAACUCCACAGCCUUUUAAGCACAAGCUUUUCAUCAGAGGACUGGAAAUGGUUACUUGUGCCACUUAGAUUCCAGGCAGUCCUGUUAAACUCUAAAAUAGGGACUGGCAGAGCCUUUGGAUCAGCUGACACACAUUUCAAGCUUUUAAAUCUGCAGGGGGAGGAAGAUUCCUCCUAUUCCAAAAGCACAGACACACCUGCUGAGUAUCAGAGAACCUCUUCCAGGCCCAAAUGCAGGCAGGUUUGUAGGUGGAAGGGUUGGAUCCUGGUAGGGUUCCUCUGGAUGCAGCAAAAUAAACCACUCCUUCACAUUCCCAUGAGGAUCUGAAAGUUUUUUCUAGUUAAUAAACUUCCUCUGUCCAAUUUCAUUGAUCUGCAUGGACUUGCCAAGGUGAAGGAUCUUUGUUUGCAGGCUUUUAAAAUCAGCUAAUUUAUUUGGGUUCUUUCUUUAAAGUUCUCCGCAGCUGAUUAUUACCCAGAGUCUCAAAAAUAGACCCACUGCUUUGGGAUUUGGGGGGAAAAGUGAAGCCUAUAUCUUAUCCGUAACUGUGUAAUGGUGUCUGAAAAUUUGUAUUUUAAAAAAAAAAUGUUUUAAAAAGGAGCCUCAUGAUUUUGGGAGGUUGGAUCCUAUGAAGGCACAGGGAAGGAGGUGGAGAAUUCAAGGAAGACUGUGGCAUAAGCUUUCCCUUCUGUUACCUGGAGGCACAUUUAAACCAGCUGUUGCUGUAUUAAAGAGGGGGUUCUUAAACAUCUAAGAUAUACGUUUAAAAAUAUGAUAUAUUUAUUUGGACAAUAUAUCUGAGUGUUUAGAAAUAGCACCCUCUGCUUUAAAUCCUUCUCAAAGGUAGAAACGACUGGAACUUUUUUCUUGCCAUCUCAGCUGGCAACAACCCAUGUGAUAAGGACACCAUUACUCCUCGUACAGGUGAGGAAUUCCCAGGGUUUGGUGUCCUGCUCCACCAGAAGCUUUGGCCAUGGUGCACAGUCUAGGUUUGUGCUGUCUCCAUACCCUGAUGUGGAUGUCAGUCAUUAAACCACUUCUUUUGCCCACCUCCAUCUGGCAGAAUGAAGCUGAGGGACCAGGUCCCAUGGUAGGCGUUAGUGAAACACCAGUGAAACCAGUGGGACUGCUGGUGCUAAAUCCAGAGCCCAGAGAAAUAUUUCAAGUGGGAGCAGCCAACAUGAUCAAUUGAGACAGUGGGCAAUGCAGGACCUCAGCUCUUCCCUUGCUCCCCUCCCCUCAUAUUUAUAGGUUUCUAAUUUCCGCUGGAUAAUGAAUAUCACUCUUCAUUAUAAUUAUGUUAAAAGGUACCAGCACGAUGAUUCAGAAACCCUUGAAGAUAUAGUCAUAUUUUCAGCAACAGAUGGAUUUAACACUGCAGAUGGAGUGUUAAGAGUGCAGGUAAUAACAAACUCAGCAAUGUACUGUACUGAAAUAUAAUUGGAAAGUAUUAAUCAUAUAUUGGUUACUUCAGCUUCACUAAGUAGAUGUUUAAUUUUCAUCAAUCUUUUUACCAGAUUCCCGGAAAGAUUUCUGCGUAGACAGAGUGUGGCUUCUAGGUGAAACGAUUGCCCAAGUUAUUAAUGACCAAGGCUUUGAUCUUGCAGGCAUGUGCCCACGGCUUACCCAGGCAUGCAGAAUAAAAAUCAUUUGUGUUAAUAAGGCUGUCAGAGGGGCCCCAUUCAUAUGGCCCAAGCUUCAACUGGUGACUAGUCAGUAGUAAAAUCCAGACCCUUCUCUACUUGGAGGCUGCUGGAAACCUGCCAGCAGGAAUGGCUGGCUGCAGGAUUUGGGGCAGAACGCAGCAAUUUGAAAAGCCCCAUUUAUAGAAGUGAACCAUCACUCUAAGCCUUUGCAGGACUGGUAGUUAGCAUGUAGAUUAAACAGGUUUUCUUUUGCCAUUCCUUAUUAUUUUCUCUAAGUACAGUCCUUUUGGAAAUAUCUACAUCCAGAGAAAUGUCUGCUCUGUUCCCAUAAACCCUGUCAUCUUGCUGGUUUUUUACUGCGCCUCUUCUUAGAGGUUGUAUUGGAAGUUAUUCAGGGGAGGUUUUGCUCUGAGCAGACCAUGCAAGACCAGGGUAAUCAGUGAUGCCUUGUUGCAUACCAUGACUCUAAUUCUUUAAUUAAUGCUAUUUAUAACUAGGAUAUCAUCUGUAGAAUCAGAAAGUGGUCCAUGCUCCAGUGUGCCAGCUGGGGACAUGGGGAACAGGGACUGUGGUAGGGAACAAUUCCAGCUCAUGCAAAAAUCUAUUUCACAGCAGGAAUAUAGAAGAUAAGUUUUGGUGAUAAUGGAAACAUUACUCUUUUGAAUGUAUUUCUGUGGAUGGUUUGUGUUCACAUUCUUCUCUGUGGGCUCAGGCAGCUGGUGAAGCUGCGUCUCCACUGAUUUCAUUACAAGCCUUCUUUUUCCUGGUGAAAGUUCAUAGCCAUGGUAUUCCAUGAUGACUAUGGACUGAUCAGACUUGUAAACAGCAACAUAAGCAUUCAACAGCUAAAUUUCAAGUCCAAUGAAAUGCUUUGGCUGAAUGCUUUGGUCUUCUCCCGAACUAUUUAAUUUUCUAGCUAUCUGUGAACCUUGAAAAUGUAAAGAAAAACUGGAAUUCUCUCUGGAAAGUUGACUUUCACUUGAUGGCACAAUAUCUUUAUCUUGGCUGAUGAGGAAAAAAGAUUUGCUAAUAAAAUCCAACAUGACUGAAAAUAAAAUUGAUCAUGACUAGAAACCACAGGUGAACAUGUUUAAUAAUGCAAAAUUAAUGUGCUGUCUACUUUCUGACAGGCAUUUUUACGCCAGAGAGAUACAAAGAGGUACUGAUCGAUUGACCAUGAUAAUCAA